CCCAUAUACAUAACAUACCCCUGGCAAUGACCCCACAAUAAUAGCAAUAAAUAACAAUCUAACAUAUUAACAUAUUAACACAGAAACUGGCCGUCCAACAUGACCACAUUUCCACCACAUUAAGUUGUAGGGGUGUACCAAGACCAGGGGCAUUUGCCUUGGGCAGUACUUUCUGGGGGGCGGCAAAAAAGAAACCCCAAUCGCCC